GAUGAAGAACGUAGCGAAAUGCGAUAAGUAAUGUGAAUUGCAGAAUUCAGUGAAUCAUCGAAUCUUUGAACGCACAUUGCGCCCGUCAGUAUUCUGGCGGGCAUGCCUGUUCGAGCGUCAUUACGCCCCUCAAGUCCCCUGUGGACUUGGUGUUGGAUCGGCGAGGCUGGUUUUCCAGCACAGCCGUCCCUUAAAUUAAUUGGCGGUCUCGCCGUGGCCCUCCUCUGCGCAGUAGUAAAACACUCGCAACAGGAGCCCGGCGCGGUCCACUGCCGUAAAACCCCCCAACUUUUUAUAGUUGACCUCGAAUCAGGUAGGACUACCCGCUGAACUUAAGCAUAUCAAUAAGCGGAGGA
rnacentral:misc_RNA from 1 species